GCAUGGCUCAGUGGCAGAGCAUCUGCCUGCAGUGGCCUGCAGAAAGAUACUGGUUCAAUUACCACCAUCUCCAGUUAUGCU
rnacentral:tRNA from 1 species